CAUCCAUAUGUAACUAAACCAACAAAUAUUCGGUUAAAACCCAAUCAUUUCUGCAUGUGGCUAGCUAAUUGGGAAGUAAAAAAAAAAAAAAGGCACUUCAUUCAUUGGAUGAUUCCAUGGAAUACAGCUAAACAACACCAGGACUCUGAACGUGCAGCCGCCAUUGGUCCUACACGUGGCACCAAUCAACACCGAAAAGUGGGGAUUUUCUCAACAUUGUUAAUUCUGUCACGGCAUUGGAAGCCAGAGUGGCGGCUUCCUCCUUAAGAUUCUCAGUUUCGGGUCUCUUUUUAAACCCUCCUCAACUCUCCAAGUUGUUAAAACAAAAUACAGGAGGAAGUAAGGGUAGAAAGAAUGGAGAGGCUAAGAGUUGGGUUCGCAGUAAUGCUGAUUAUUAGAUUUGUAUUGAAUAUGGUACAUUCCAGCAAUGCUCAAAGCCUUGCUCCUGCAUCUCCUCCUAUAAGCGAUGGGGUAACAGUUGAUCAGGGAAUUGCUUACGUUUUAAUGCUGCUUGCUUUUGUGCUCACAUAUAUCAUUCACUGACAUUAUCUGUGACGGAAUUAAAAAAUCAAGUCGUGUUUGUAAUUUUUAAAAUUCUUUAUUUUUUCCUCGAUUUAAAUUUUUGUAUUCUUCUUCAAUCUCAGCUUGUAAUUAUUUUUAUUUCUUCAGUAUUUACUUAUAAAAUGAGAAAAGCGAUGACUAGUUUUAUUCUUGCCUUAAUUAUCUCCUUCGGGAUGACAACUAGGGUGUGGAUUCAAAUACUUGAAAAUA